CCUACGGGAGGCAGCAGUGGGGAAUUUUGGACAAUGGGGGCAACCCUGAUCCAGCCAUGCCGCGUGCGGGAAGAAGGCCUUCGGGUUGUAAACCGCUUUUAGUCGGGAAGAAAAGGCAAGGGUUAACACCUCUUGUUCUUGACGGUACCGGCGGAAUAAGCACCGGCUAACUACGUGCCAGCAGCCGCGGUAAUACGUAGGGUGCGAGCGUUAAUCGGAAUUACUGGGCGUAAAGCGUGCGCAGGCGGUUUGUUAAGUCUGAUGUGAAAGCCCCGGGCUCAACCUGGGAAUGGCAUUGGAAACUGGCAAGCUCGAGUGCGGCAGAGGGGGGUGGAAUUCCGCGUGUAGCAGUGAAAUGCGUAGAGAUGCGGAGGAACACCGAUGGCGAAGGCAGCCCCCUGGGCCGACACUGACGCUCAGGCACGAAAGCGUGGGGAGCAAACAGGAUUAGAUACCCUGGUAGUCCACGCCCUAAACGAUGCUCACUAGGUGUUGGGGAAGCGAUUCCUUGGUACCGUAGCUAACGCGUGAAGUGAGCCGCCUGGGGAGUACGGCCGCAAGGUUAAAACUCAAAUGAAUUGACGG
rnacentral:rRNA from 1 species